rnacentral:lncRNA from 1 species
UACUAUAUAUAUUUAUUAGUUAAAUAUCAUUAGGAAUAUCUUAGGGUAGAUUCACAAAUCUCAUUUUCCCCAAAAUACCAUUCUUCGUUCCAAGGAAACCCUAUCUCCUUCAUACCUUUCCCCGUGAAGUUCAACUAGCGAUUUCUCCUCUCCCUUUCCCUACGCCCUAGUAGAUCGACUCUAUACAAAGAGAAUUUGAAGAAAUGAACAUGAAUUUUUGCUUGGGUCCUUAAGAUUCUGUGAAAAUGGACUCAGGUGACGAUUAUUCGGAAAUCAGAAUCAUGUAAUUCAGCUACUGAUGCUGAGAAAACGGGUUCAGGUAAUUUUUCUUUACUUCUUUCUACCUUUCAUAGUUAGGUUAAUUAUUUUGACUAUUUGUUCCUCUUUCGUGGUGAAUAUUCUGAAAUUUUAUAGUUUUAUUGAUGAGAUUUUGGAUGUAUUUCAUGUAUUAGUGUUAAGUUUUAUAUAAUGAGUGCUAGAAAUUGUUCUCUUAUAGAUUCACCAUAUGUUAUCCCCAGGGGCGGACUCACGUUGGUUCCAGGGUUCACCCGAACCCCCUCGGCAAAAAAUUACACUGUAUAUAUACGGUAAUUUUUUGUAUUUAUGUGAAUAUAUAUAUUUUGAACCCUCUCAAUAACAAGGAGAAAGAGAUAGCCCAGUGGCAUUUUCCUUGAAAAUUAAGUCUCGUGUUGAGGGUUCGAAUCCCUGCAUUAGCGUUUUAUUUUUUUCUUUUUCAGUUUCAGUUUUUUUUUUUUAAGGUUUCAGUUCUGUUUUCACGUUUUUUUUAGUUUUUUAUUUUUAUAAAACAUGCUAAAAGUGUGGUUUUAAACCCAAAAAAUUCAAGGGUCCACCACUAAAACUAAAUACUACUACUUUCUUGAAAUUUUGUUUUGUUGGCUUAUAUAUACACGUUUAUACUUUUAUUUUUAGAACCUCCUGAACGAAAAUUCUGGGUCCGCCACUGGUUAUCCCUAUUUACAACGCUCUUAGAUACAAGAGAAGGGUUUGUUUGUAUAGUACUUGAUUUGUUUUGUUUGGUGAGUUGGAACAUGAACAAAUGAAGCAUCAAAUGAUGUCAGAAAAAUGUGGUUUAGAUCAAGAAAAUCAAUGGUCUCUACCUUUGUUGAAGUUUGUGUCUCUCAUAUUUGCCUUUUUUUUUUAUCGUGGCAUCAUUUUAGUCAGCUACACCUCGAUUAAUUCUCUCUAUGGACUAGCUUCAUGUUAUGUCAAUUCUCUCCAACAUAUUUGGAAAGGGCUACAAAAAUUGUGAGUAUGAAGCCAUGGACUGAUCAAAGUGGCACCUCUGAUUGUUGUUUUUGCACAAAGAUUUCUCAUUCUCCAAAUGUUGUGACAUUCAAAGAAAAAUAUAAUCUCACUAAACAAAAACAUGAUAAAGAUGACAUAAAAGAUUUCUCAUUUUAGCUUUUCUUCAAGAGUCGCUCUAGUGUUUCUUCCUCCUUCUUGAGGAUUUUUUUUGUUAUGGAGAAGAAAAGUAUUAGUUGUUAGAGCAAGCUAAUGUGAACUCUUAUAUAUUCAAUAUGAGUAUGUAAAUAUAAUAGAAUAUUGAAUAUGUGAUGAGAUUCUUUACCUUUGUAAUUGUGAGUAUGUAUGUGUGCUUUAUGUAUCUCUGUAUUUUCUCAAGGAUAUAGGAUCAUGAAUAAUCUGUCAUAAUGAUCUCAUCAUCUGUGUAUUAAUGUAGAGCUUAAAUUCUAUGCACUAAUAGUUUAAAAGAUAUCUAUACAAUUAAAUCUCAUUAAAAAAGUAAUUAACUAAAAGGUGUUUUAUCAUAGUUUGAGGACGUGGAAGUUCAGGAACCACGUCUCAGCCAGAAAAUACAACCAAUAGGGAUUACCGAGGUAUCUCUAGAGACGGGAUAAUCAUGUACUUCAAGAGAAGGGCCUCUACAAACAGGACAAGAUGUUCCAAGAACAAAUGGUUGCUAUCAUGACUAGAAUGCAAUAGGUACUUGUUUUCACCUUCUUUAAAAGUCUACUCCUUUUCUUGACAAUUCUUCUUUCUUACUAUUUGAUAAUUAUUUUGUGAAUUGCUCCAUAUAUGUUGUUGAGUUGCUCUUUUAAAUCUGGUUUUCUUUAUGACGCAUACGAAGUGUUUGAAAAAACUUCUGAAAUAAAGUAAGCAUGAAAAAACUGUUAGUGUAGUGUUCUUGAUCCUCUUUUCUUUUUUAGAAAAGGGUGUUGUUGUUGUUUUUAUUUUCAACAAAUUUUGUAUGACUUUGUUACUAUAAAUGACUUUCAUCUUUGUGGCAUUUGAGAAGGAUGGAGGAACAAAACCUGUAAGAUUGUUACUUUCCAUGUUUAAAUCUCUCAAAGUUUUUGGAUUUCCAAUGACUUUUGAGAUUUGUCCCUUUAAAGCAAUGAAGGCUAAAACCAAAGUAGCAAGACUGAAAAUGUUAUGAAGAGAAGAAGGUACUAAACUAGUGAAACUAUUAUUUGUAAGAGAGAGAACUUAAAGGUGAAAAAAGUCCCAACCACAAGAAGCAUCAUGAAACCACCAAUAGGACAAGUGUAGUAUUAGUAGUCAUGGCAAAAGAAACAAACUGCAAACUGACCUGAGAACUUAAAAGAGUUAAAAGUCUUAAAAAGCAACAAAUAUACUACUUAUACAUGAAUAGCUAGUAAAUUGAGCAGCCAAGUGAUUAUAUUAAGUUACGCUAACACACAAACAGAACUAGCUAAUAUGGUUUAAGAAUGUUAUGUUACAAAAAUAGAUGUGAGCUAAAGUGGGUGUAUGAGAAAAGGCUCAAAAUGAUCCUUUAUCUUUGAACAUAGAUUUAAAGUGAUCCUUUAUAUAUUAUAUGGAGCACUAAUAGUCCUUUAAGUUUGCAAUAAUGGAGUACAUUCAGUAGUACUCCAAAUAUAAACAAUAAAAUUUUAGUGGCAGCUGAUGACAUACAAAAGUCAAGCCCAUCUGCAGAUAGCAGACUUAAAUUGAGGAACUGAAGAACUUUGAAAAAUUCCUUAUGAAGGGACUGCAUUCAAGGAAUCACCUGAAACAUUAUAUUAUCUUUGCUUAGUUUGUUAAUGAUUCUCAAAAUGGAGAAUUUUUAAAAGAAGCAUUUUGUCGGAUACCUCAAACUACCAGGAUUGACAUAACCAUUUAUGUAUAUGAGAAAAAGAAAGUAGCACCUAUUUCUUAUUGCAAGAACUUGAUGUGGCAAAAAAAGUAGGAAAAAUACCUAGCUAAUGAAUUAACUAUAUGAACUCUCACCUUUGGAAAUUAUAUAUGAAUCUGAAAAGUGAAACAAUGACUAUCUUUCUUAAAAAGUUUGUAUAAUUCUUUCCGGCUGUAUCAAGUAAAAGGUUCUUUAUCCCUCUUCCUUUAUGUUCACUUGAGAUAAAGGUUGCAAACUACAAAGCAUCACAACUCAUAUUCUGGAUCUCAACAUUAGAGUUCUUAUGUGGUCUAAACCUUGAGAAUUGAAUAGAUGCUAGUUAGCAUCUAAAAAUACUUGCUUAUAAUAGCUCGAUCCUUUGAAAACCCUUGAGCAUCACAGAUAGACCUUGCAAAUUACAUACCUUUGUUGUUAGAAGCAUAAUUCAUAAGGUGUUAUUUUGUCGUCUUUUUAUUCAAUACUUGUCAAAAUGACAUACUUGUUAGGCUGAUUUUUUUCUUAAAAUUUCUUGAGGUUGUCUAAACUUGUACAAUUUUAGUAUUUCAGAAAUAAGUGAAAUCAAGUUGGCUUAGUCCUGGUAAGGUGCAUAUCUCAAGAUUUUGAUGAAUAACUUGUAGAUUUCUCAGUUUAUUUUGGGAAGAAGUUGAGCUUUAACAAUAUCUUAUGUUUUUAACAUGUUUGUAAUUUAUGAUGGGUCUUGCUUCUUUACAUGAUAUAUACAAAUUACCAAGUUGGUAGAUGCUUCUUGAACUUGCUAUUGCCUACUAUUUAUUAUUUGAUGUCUUUUUUGUUUUCUUCAUACUUCCACUCUCAAUUGCUUGUGCUUUCUGUAUAUUGUAUUGUGAGCUUCUUCCUCUGACUAUAACUUUUGAUCCAUUUUCAUAUUUCUUUAAAUUUAUCUUUAGAAGUGUCUGAACUAUUAUGUCAUUGCUUUUUAUAAUCUUAAUCACUCUAUGUCAUCCUUUUUUAUUAUUAGCAUUAUAUUAUGAGAUAUUAAAAUGAUUUUAUCUUUCUUUUAAUAACAGGAACAAGGUUCUUAAAUAAUGGGGCUGCCCAAGGAUAAGCCUGAAGGCGUGCAAUGAAGUUUUUAGAUCAAAUGUGUGUAUGCAUAUAAUGUCACCUAUGUAAUAUGUAGUAUGCAAUUGGCUUUCUAGUAGUGGACUUAUAAUAUUCAGCUUGAGGAUGCUUUUGCAGUUUGUAAAAUACUACUGCUUUUAAUAGUUAUAUAUCAAUUUUAGAGAAUUUUAUUGCAUGGAAAACUUAGUAUAAUUUUGUUUGUGAUGUGGUUAUAAAUACCAUUUAAUGGGGACAUAUUUUGUGGUGACUAUUAUUGUAGUGCAACUUGUUCUUUAGUAACAAGGUGAAAUUUGCCACAAAUGAAAUAUUAGUUUUUGUGGCGACAUAUUUCAUUACUAAAAGUCAUUUUUCAG